GCGGGCGUUUCCUGGGAGUGGCGGUCGUCUGCGGGCCGGGAGGCCGCGUCCCCGUGCCCGCGCUCCUGGGGGCCCCGGCGCCCUCUGGCCUCAGGGCUCGGGCCGCGUCGGUCAGGCCCCGGGGCGACUCCGGUUCUUAGGAGGGAACGUGAAGAAGCGUCCUCUUAAAAGGUGAUCACGGACGAAGGACACAGCGGCGACCGCCCCAGGCUGCAGGACGGGAGGCCGCAGGUAAUCAGCCAUGUGGUGCAGUGAGAAGUGCACCUGCUUUGGAACCCGAGUACCUGGGUUUACACUGAAGUGACUCUGCUUCCAGGCUGUGUGGGCUUGGGCAAGUCAGAGGACCUCUCUGAACCACCAUUUCCUCACCUGUUGCGUGCAGCUAAAGUAACAGCAAAGCCCCAGCACUAAACGUGGCACAUCGAGCUAGCAGGUGAUGCAAAUGUGCAGCCAGGCUUGAGAACCACUGGUCUCAGGCCUUGGUUUGCAUCCCUCUAACUUCUCAGAAUCACCUUGGAGCCUUAAAAAUACCAACGUGGACACAACCUAACCUUAGUCCACCGGCGGAUGGUGUGUACCCAAAACGUGGUCCCUGCAGACAAUGGGAGGCUGUUUGGCCACGAGGGGAAUGAAACUGCUGUCCCCCAACGUGGAUGAGUCACUGUGCUGAGUGAAUCCAGCCAGAUGCACAGGAUUGACUCGCCUGGGCCCUCGAGUGGUCCAAUUCACAGAGAGUGGUGCUCAGUCUGGGCUGGAGGAGGGAGGAACGGGGAGUUCAUGUUUAAUGGGCAGGCCUUCGGUUUGGGAAAAGGAACAUUUCUGGAGGCGAUAGCUGCACCACAGUGUGAAUGUGUUUACUGCCACCUAACCACACACUCGGAAAUGGCUAACAUGGUCAAUUUUCCAUUAUACCCAUUUUACCACCAUUAAAAAAAAAUGUAGUGGGAGCAUAAAUGUCACGAUUAAAGUUUAAGAUCAUCCCACAAAACAAAACCACAAAUGUCCAAAUCUCUGCUCAGAGCAAUUCAAAUAAGAGGACCUGGGAGUGGGGACGCCCGGGUGGCUCAGCGGUUGAGCGCCUGCCUUCGGCCCAGGGUGUGAUCCUGCAGUCCUGGGAUCGGGUCCCAUUUCGGGCUCCCUGCAUGGAGCCUGCUUCUCCCUCUGCCUGUGUCUGCCUCUCUCUCUCUGUGCCUCUCGUGAAUAAAUAAAUAAAAUCUUAAAAAAAAUAAUAAUAAAAGAGGACCUGGGGGUGGAGCCCCGGCACUGGGAGCAUCUACAAGUGUCCCAGGAGAAUUUCAGGAGCAGGCCACCAUCUGAGAUUAUUCUAAAAUUCCAGCAUCAGAGAAUAGUGAGUACACCGUCCAUUUAUCUGUUGCCACAUUUUUUUUAAAAGAUUGUAUUUAUUUAUUCAUGAGAGACACAGAGAGAGGCAGAGACACAGGCAGAGGGAGAAGCUGACUCCCUGUGGGGAGCCCCACGUGGGACUCCAUCCCUGGACCCCGGGAUCACAACCUGAGCCAAAGGCAGACGCUCAACCGCUGAGCCACCCAGGUGUCCCUGUUGUUGCCACGGUUUUAAAAUCUGUCCACAAAUUCUUUGAUGCUCUUCCUCCCAGAGGUGGGCCCUAAUUCCCCUCCCCUGGGCACGGGCGGGUCUCAGUGGCUUGCUGCUGAUAAGCAGGGAAAAGCAGAAGUGAUGGCAGAGGACAUGAGAACUCUAGUGGUAAAGGUCACCAUAAUUUCUGCUUUGGUGUCUCUCUCUCUCUCUCUCUCUCUCUCUCUCUCUCUGAUCGCUCACCCUCGGAGGAGCCAUGUCACUAGAACACUCUCGAAGCCUUCUGGAGAACCAUGUGGUGAGGAACAGAGGCCUCCUGCCAACAGCGCCAUCACAGAAGAGGGUCCUCCAGCCCAGAAAGCCUUCGAACAAGACACGGCCCCGGCCCGAUGGCCACCACCUGGGAGCCCUGAGCCAGAACUAGCCGGCGCAGCCGCUCCUGAACUCCCGCCCCACGGAAUCGGUGAGAUCCACACUUGUUGUUUUAAGCCGCUACACUUUGGGGUGAUUUGUUACACUGCGGUAGGCACUUAAUACCCCCAUUCAUGAGUCACUUAAACCGGCCACUCAUCCCUUUCCACAGCCACCCAUUCAUCCGCCCGUCUGCUCACCUCCCUGUCCAUUCAUCUGUCCAUCUAUCCAUUAAUCCAUCCUCCCGUCUGUUCCUUUAUUCGCCCACUUAUUCACCCACCCACCCUGCCAGCCGCCCACCCACUCCUCACAGAACACAGAGCCUGGCACAAAGUCGGCCCAUGUUUAAGUAUCUGUUGAAUGAAUGAGCGAACGUUGUCUAAACAUCACGUCUGUGUUACUUGCUGAGACAGGCCAGGGGGCUUAGCGGCUUGGCCACCUCCCUGGAAGCAGCUCCCCCCUUCCCAGCCCAUUCAGCCUCAUUUUUUCCUGUUGAGAACCACCCCCAAUCCUCCCACAAAUCCUUUAGGCCUGCCUGAUAGAAAAAACCUGCUUCUGUCUCUCCACUGACACCCCCCCCCCCCAGAGGGGACAAAUCCUAAGGCUGCUGGCUGUGGCUCAGAGGGCCACCAGCCUGGAGUAGGGGAGACUGGGGACAGCAGAGCCCCCUGCCCCCCGGGAGAGUUUGUGACAGGAAGAUUUGGGCUUUUCUGGAAGCCAAGUGGAGCAGCCACAGAAAAGCCAGUUUCCUUCUGAUGGCAGAGGCCUCACUGUCUCCUCCCUGAGGACAUCAGAGAGGCCUGGGGCUGCCCCCCACCAUACACACGUUUCUCUAGACGAAUCCCAUCUUAUUCCUCGUUUUUUUCAUCUAUGAAAUUGGAAUAAUGAGGGUAUUUUGGAGAUAAGAUGACAUGGUGCACAGGCGGAUCCCCAGCAAGGGCCGUUGGCAGCAGGCACUGAAGCGUGCCUGCUGAGCUGCUAGGACGAGAGCGCAGAGCAUCAGUAAAACCCAAGGCCUCCAAGCAGCAGACCGUUGACUCAGGGGACUCAGGCCCUCUCUCCUCCUUGCUUCGCUCACUCUGCUCUGGCUGCUCCAUCUCCUCCUGUUCCUCUAACCCUCCGCACCUGCUCCCACCUCAGGGCCUUUGCACUGGCCGUUCUCGCUGCCUGGAGGCUCUUACCCCAAAUUUCCCUUGGCUCCUCCCUCUCCUGCUUCAGGUCUUUGCACAAAUGUCCCCUUCUCGGUGAGGCCUUCCCAGGCCACCUGUCCACCACUUUCCCUAUCCUCCUUUUGGGAUUCCUUUUCUUCCCAUCACAUCUAUCCUUUGAAGACACCGCAUCUUUUUCUUAUUAAUUCUGUUUGUUGUCUGACUUCUCGCAGAACACAGGCUCCCCAAGGGAGGGGUUUGGGCUGUUUCCACUACUAGAUCCCCACAUGUAGCUGAGCGACCAGCACACAGCAGUUUUACAAGGUGGACGGGUGGAUAAAUGGGCGGGUGGAUGUGAUGAGGGAGCAGAAGCCUAGCUCAGGACAAAACACAAGCUGGCACCCUGCAAACCAAUCCCCCCCACUCCUGGGUGGGAUGUGUGUGACAUUCUUCCAGGAAGCUCCCAACUUUUUUUUUUUUUGUAAGAUUUUAUUUAUUCAUGAGAGACACAGAGAGAGAGGCAGAGACACAGGCAGAAGGAGAAGCAGGCUCCGUGCAGGGAGCCUGAUGUGGGACUCCAUCCCAGGACCCCCGGAUCACACCCCUGGCUGAAGGCAGAGGCUCAACCGCUGAGCCACCCAGGUGUCCCCCACAACUGUCUUAAUGUUAAUACCUUGCUAGAGGGAAAAACAACCUUAACAAUGGCAAGGGCUUUGGAAUCCUGUGAGUCUUCUUUAACAUGUGAAAAUCCUUUUGAAACCUCGCUUUUCCUUACCUCCCCCAACUCCAAGUAUAUAAUCAGCCUUUCCUCACAACCUGGGGACGGCAGCUCUUUCUGCCCCAGGGUUUUGCCCUGUGCUUUAAUAAAACCACUAUUUUGCACCAAAGAUGCCUCAAGAAUUCUUUCCUGGUGGUUGGCUCUGGACCCCACCCCACCAAACCUCACCUAUAUCAGACGGAUGAACAGAUAGUCAUGUGAGGUGGUUGCCUGAAAUCAUCCAGGUCUAAGUUCCCCACAUUCUAGAGAAAGAAAACUGAGGACCAGACCCCGGGGCUUCUUACAAAGCGGUUGCCAAGGUCCUACCUUCCCUUAGAUCAUCCCAGCACCAACAGAAGAUAGGAGUGGGAAGAAAAAAAGAGCUGCUCCCCUCCUCAGGUCUCCCGCUCAGGCCCGCUGCCCCACACCCACCCUCAGGCAAGGCAGGUGUCCCCAGUCUUCAUCCUGUGCCUGCCCGAAUCGGGGAAAGAGAAUGGUAAGAGGUGCCAGGGUGGGGAGAGGUGACCAUGGCAUGUCAGGAAGGUGUGAGUUUCUGGGAGUGACCUGGACCCCAAGAGGGAAGCAGAGCCAAGAGAACUUUCUAGCAUCCCACCUGAAAAGGCUGCCGCAGGGUGAGCAGACCCUCCCGAGGGAAGCGGAGGGAGGUGGGUGACCAGCAACGGGGGCACCAUGUUGCAGGACCCUCGCCUCCACCCCACCCC